GAGAAUAAACUGUUGGAGGGGUUGGAUUGGGUGAUUCGUCCCCUUUUAUACCACCACGGCGCUGGUGGUGAAUGAGCUCUUUUGCCCCAGUGGCGGUUUACGCAUAAGACUUGGCAACACCCAUAAAUGACAUUCUCUACGGAUUUGACAUGAAAUAACGUUUUAUUGACGUUGUCGAAUGAUGAAUUGCCAUAACUUUGACCGGGGACCCCGUUGGAUAACGCUUGAUGGUUCUCAUAACUACUAUCCAACUCUAUAAGCCAGUCGGAUCCGUUCUUGUACGGAUGUAUUGUUAGUUGUUAUUAUUUUUCGUUGUUCUUCUGUGAAUAUUUCCCUUGGCCUCUGGAUGUAAGUAGGGUCUCUUUCCCGGUUGGCGGGAGUUCCUGGCUCCGAUUUGGCCUCCGGGCUGGAAGAUGUAUACACAAUCCCUCUGCCCUUAGCACCGGUUCGCAUAUCAGGGCCGAUGGUCCUCCUGGAUUGGGUAUCGUUCGGAGAAUUCUCUCCAUCGCUCUCCAAGUCCACGACGAUCGGUUGCUCUGCUGAAGGCGGUUAAAAGGCAGAGCUCUGGAUACCAUCCCAUCAGAGACGAGAACCGGUAUUGCCCAGAAUGCAAUUCCCCAAGUGAUGAAAUCUGUGAUAUGUGUUGUCAGGUUAUCACUGGUGUUAUCAAGAGCUACUAGAUAGAAACUUACUUCUCUUUUCUUUUCCUCUUCUUUAUACUUGUAUGUAAUGCACUUGCCUGUUCACUGAAAUUGCUAUCACUUGAUCUGUUACAAGUUGGAUCAUUCUUCGCUCUUUGAUUUAGAAUAAUCGCUUUUG
rnacentral:sRNA from 2 species